AUGGGCCUCCUUUUACCGCCAUGCCGAAAAACAGUGAAGGAGGACUGCAUGACAGCAUUUAAGGAAGAGAAGAGAAUUCUGCAAAGGAUGUUCCAAAACUCCAAAUCCAAGAUUUCUUUGACUACGGACCUAUGGACAUCAAAUCAGACAGUGGGGUACAUUUUCAUCACAGCCCAGAAGAGGAUAGUGAAAUUCGCAGCUAUGGAGACGCCGCACACAGGAGCUGCAAUGUUCAACAUCAUGGUGAAUUUCAUAAGAGAGUGGAGUAUUGAAGAUAAUCUCUUUGCUGUGACGCUAGACAAUGCAUCGAACAAUGGUGCAAUGAUGAAGCUAUUGAAGGAACAUCUCCUGCUUAAGAAGAUGUUACCUGGUAGUGGCAAGUUGUUUCACCAACGUUGUGCCGCCCAUGUCAUAAAUCUGAUAUGUCAAGCAGGAUUGAACUUCCUUGGUCCGGUGAACAACAUGAUGCGUGAAAGUCUUAAAUAUAUUCGAAGCUCACCAAGUCGAAAGGAAAAAUUUCAAGAAAUCGUUGUGCAGCAUGGUGUAUCAUGUGGGAGAACUCCAAGUCUUGAUGUUCCAACUCGCUGGAACUCAACCUACAUGAUGAUUGAUAUAGCAAAGGAGUAUCGCGGAGUGUUUGACUCUUUGGCCAUUCAAGAUAAACAAUAUACCUUCAAGCCAUCUUUUGAGGAUGGGGAAAAUGCCGAAGAUGUUUGCAGGCUACUGAAGGAAUACCUCCAAUUGAAUGGCAAUGGCUCAAAUCCCAUGUCACAAGGAGGUGAUGAUGACAUGGCUGUACCCAUCCGUCAAAGUGAUCAAUUCAAUAUCCUUGCAUGGUGGCAGACCAACUCAGGUGAAUACCCAACGCUGAGUCGCAUGGCAGCAGAUAUCUUGGCGGCUCCUGCCUCUGCGGUGGCAUCCGAGUCCGCCUUCAGCACAGGGAAGAGAGUCCUAUCAAAUUUUCGAAGUCGAAUGACCGCAACGACACUUGAAGCUCUUGUUUGCUUACAAGAUUGGAUACGGGCCACCGCUAAUACUCAACGUAGCUUGGCUUCAGUUCAUGACAUUAUAAUGGACUUACAAGUUUGUUCCAGGGAACUAUUUGCAAGAUGCAGCCCAAUCGUGUAG
rnacentral:rRNA from 1 species